GCCCCCGUCGUCUAGCGGCCUAGGACGCCGCCCUCUCAAGGCGGUAACGCCAGUUCAAAUCUGGUCGGGGGUAC
rnacentral:tRNA from 1 species